CAUUCCCAAACUUACUCCAUUUCAGAAUUAUAAUGAUUCAAGAACAAAAGUCUUCACAUACAGAAAAAUUUCCAGUCCUAGCCUCUCUCAGUUUCAGAUCUUAAUGUUACAUUGAGAACUUAAGAAUAUAAUUCUGACCACUUGAAAAGUUUAAGAAACUGUUGAAAAUCGCCAAAGCAUCAUGAUUCAUGAACCUGGAAGGACAAGAAAACAGCAGACUUGAAACCGCUUUGUUUCUCCCUAUCAUAAUGCUAGCGCCUUUAGCCUACAUGAUCUAUCUUAAAGAAUACCAACGGUUUUCUAGUCAUAUGAAGACUUCUGCUAUCCAGAUUUUUCCUAGGGUCCUCUAACAGCAUGAACACUAACGAAUUCUAAAAUAUAGAAAACGUGGUUUGCAGAGAUCUUUGAUGUACA